CUACGAUCUGGAACACACCAAGUAGCAAACCUUGCAUAUUCUUCUUAUUGCUUCAGGUUGAAAUACUGGAAAAGAAAAAACUUUUGGAAGCUCUGGCGUUAUAUAACCUUUUUAAGCUGCCGAGGUGAAACAUGCAGCGCGGACGUGAAAGGUCAUUGCAGGACACUUGAUGGUGUUUUAACAAGCAGCAGUUAGAAGAGAGGAAGCACAGAGAUUCCACGUCGGAGCAGCAUAAAAGUGAUUUACAGGGACCUUUCCCACUUUCACUUUGAGUAAAAUGGAGGAAUUCAAAUAAAAUGGAGGGUCCGUCAGCGCAGGGGAAAAAUGUGCCGGGCGGCUGGAAUCCGGGGGCUGGAGGCUGCAGAGGUGAUGUCAUUGGGCCAGAGCAAGAGGCGAGUGAAAAACAAGUCUCUCUCUUUAUUCUGAUCCUCUUUGCAGU